rnacentral:lncRNA from 1 species
GGCCGCUGCACCUGUGUUGCAGCGUCCUGUACGACCACCACGUGGACAGCGACCACGACGGGUGGACACCCUCACAACCAUGUCGUCGCAGUGCGCCCGCAGCCUCGAACAGGGCGACGAGAGGCUCCAGGUGCUGCGGAGGAUGGAACAAUCCACCACCCGCCUCGCUGUCGCGGCAGAGAGGAUGGCAGCGGCUCAGGAGGACAUCCUGGAGAAGGUGCGCUCCCUGGCACUAGUCGUAGCUGGGCACCU